CUGCCAGCUCCUGAUUAUUUCUGUGCAUUUCUUCUAUUUUUUUCUUUCUUUUUCUAUUCCAGCUCUGAUAUCUGCCGGCUGCUGCACCAACUCCUGUAGGAGUGUAAAGCUUUGGGACAGCUUCGACGCCUCCUGACCACGACAUGCCUCUUGAUCAGACGCUGCUUUGACAACCCCCCCCCCCAGAGAGACAAAGACGGACGGAGAGAGGACUGAUGUAUAACUGGAUGGAUGAAUUAAUGAAUAUUCCGGGAAAUCAAAUAGAAGAGCAGCAAAAGGCAAGAGAGUGGACGUGUGAACCAAGGCGAUAAAAGUGGCAAUGAACUGGAAACAGACUUCUUGAUCUCCUUCUCGGCCCUGUCUGCUGCUGCUGCUGCUGCUGCUGCUGCUGCUGCUGCUGCUGCUGCUAUGCAUCUCCUACGGACCACCAGGAAAGACUGAGCGUCAUGGUUUGGGCAGGCGGAGGCUCGUCUCUGCAGUGCCAAAGGGAAGAGAAACUAAUUAAGACGGAUGAGAAUCUUUGUGUUGCCAACAAUAUAGUCCUACCUCUUUGGAAAGACAGAGGCCAGAGCAACUUCUCCUGCUGACAGUGGAGUUUAAAGACCCGUCUCUUCACACUCGUCACACCAGUGAUCAUUUAACACGAAACUCUUUCAAAACCCAACUUUGCAUUGACAGUAACUACCUUCCUCAAGUCAUUGUGGAGCCGCCGUUAAAGCACAAAAUGAGCGACUAAGUGACGACUAGCAUAGUUUUGGCCAUCAUUCUUAGCAAUUGGGACUUUGUCACUCAUCAAAGCUGAGAUCUGAGAUUCACACGAAUACUGGAACAAGCGACAAAGUCCAAAGAGGCAGAGAGAAAAUGUGAGCUGCUGCAAAUGAUCAGAGAGGCGGUAAACAAGCCAGUUCAGCCACACUGUUUUGUAGUGUUAAUUACGACGGUCAUUUUUGGAUUCCAGUCUGCAGGUUAAAAACGGGCUGUAUCACCGCUGCUCUUUUUGGCACAUACAGGCACAACUCUGCAUAUCCACUUCCAAAGCUGGACAUCAGCCUGCUGCGCUGCUCCUUUAUCAUUUAUAAAGCUGGAGCGGACAUAACGGAGAUGAAAGAGGCAGCGUCCACAAGAGGGAUUCAUUCCAGCAACUGCACUUUCAGUUUGCUAAAUGCUCUCCCAUGAUACCCUGUAGUGUAUAGGGGAGUCAACAUGGAAGACUCUUUAAAUAUGUGUCGGUGAAGAGUCACAAAGCAAUAACUUUGUGUAGUCCAAAACAGCAACUAGUAAAGUACACAGAUGACUAAUUAGGCAUUUAAUGAGGGUGAUGCUCCUUAAAAUGCCGUAUUCUUCCACCUCAUUCGGAGCCACAGGGCUUGUGGCAGCCGGCUAGUUUUGGUCGGCUCCUGUCGUCCAAUCACAUGACAGCUGUAAAAGCUAAGCUAAUUAUUACAGCACAUCCACUGAGGACUCACAGCAGCGAUGUGUAAUUUUCACCUAAAUUGCAGCACGUAGAUUAAUCUUAGGAGCUUGGAGUUCUGUUUUCUCCAGACUAUAUUGACACAUACAUUAGAAGAAGUUUUUUCUUCGAGUCAUGCUGCUCUUUUUCCACAAAACAUGUCCACGUUUGACUGCUCAGUAUGAGGAGGAAAAGGCUUCAGUGAUGAAGACUCUCAGUGAUGAAAAAGCACUUUCUCAAAUCCUAGAAAUCAAUUUGAUUAGUGCUUGAUUACAACUUGAUUAACUGAUUUAAAAAAACAAAAAACGGCCUCUUGCUUGAUUACCCCUCUCUGAUGACAGAAGUCAGGUACAACAAUAAAUAAAUCCUUUGUUGCAUACAAAGACAUGAACCUAAACUUGCAAAGCCUGACCCUAUACUACACAUAUGGCUACGUACCAGCUCAGUGUUCAUAUUCUGAGAACAGUGAAGGCAGUAUUACCUCGUAAUGGAGAUGAUUUGUAUCCUGGUGCAAACACAUAUCGCAUAUAAUGCUACUCAAGUAGAGUGUUUUUGCGAGAACAUGUACAGUAAAUACAUUUAUCAGGAAGGCUGAGCUUUGACGUCGUAGGCGUGAGCAGAUUUCCA